rnacentral:lncRNA from 1 species
CAGAGUUCAGUUUUUAAAAUGACCCAAGGAUAUGCUGUUUACAAGAAACUUGCUUCAAAUUCAACAAUGACCUUUCCCUGAGGAGGACAUACAAAUGCAAAGAAACACGGGAAAGGACAGCCCGCAUCGGGAGCCGAUAGGCAGAUGCGAAUUAAAACCAUGAUGAGAUAUCACUGCACACCUAUCAGAAGGGCGGAAAUGAAAAAUAGUGACCACACCAAAUUCUGGCGCGGAUGCAGAGAACCCGGAUCCCUCCCACAGCGCCAGCGGGGAGGAGAAGUGGCACAGCCCCUCUGUCAAACAGUUCGGCCGUUUCUGACGAGACUAAACAUGCAAUUAGCACAUGACUCAGCAGUUGCGUUCUCCAGCAUUUAUCCCAGGGAGAGGCAGGCUUGCGUUCUCACAGGAGUCUGCUCCCGAAUGUGCGUAGCAGCCUUCUUCUAAUAGCCAAAAAUCGGAAACACCCAGAUGACCUUCAAUGGGUGAAAGGUUAAAUGGCACAUCCACACCAUGGAAUACUACUCAGCAAUAAAAUGGAUCGUUGACACACACAACAACUUGGAUUAAUCUGCCGGGAAUUGUUUUGAGUGAAAAAAGCCAGUCCCAAAACGUCACGCGGUGUGUGAUCCUAUUUAUAUAACAUUCUUGAAAUGACGAAAUUCUAGAAACGGAGAGCAGUUAGUGGGUCUGGGUGGCGGUCGGGGGGUUGGAGGCAGAGGAGGGCGGGAGGUGGGUGUGGUUACAAAAGGAGAACAAAAGAGAUUGUUGAGGUGAUGGAACAGGUCAGUAUCUGGGCUGUGGUGCUGGAGGACCCUACACAGGCAAUAGAAUUAUACAGACUAAAUACACACACGCAUGUGCGGACAAGCCAAACUGGGGACGUGUCCGUAGACGGGCGCCUUGCAUCAGUGUCGAGAUUCUGGUUGCGAUGCUGUGCUGUAGUUUUACAAGAUGUUACCACUGGGGGACGCUGGGCAGAGGGCACACGGGAUCUCUGUGUGUUACUUCUUACAAUACCAUGUGAAUCUACAAGGAUCUUAACAUGAAAAGGUCGAUUCCAAAGAUGAAUAAACAAAAAAUAAAUGAAACCAAUCAAAAUUCCCUCUGGACCGCACUGAGCUCCAGUUCGGCCCUCUGUCUGCCUGCCCCAACACCUCUGCCCCCAUCCCGGAUCGGGAUUCCUCAACCGCAUUGCCCUCCGUCUGCUCCCAGCUGCCUCCAGCCCUCAGUGACCAAAGCACAGCACAAAAUUCAAGGUUACGGCUUCUCCUGGGCUAUCCCAAAAGCAAAGCCUGAGACAGGACUGGCUUGAUUUGCAGGUGGUUUGUUUGGAAAAGCGACCCCAGGGAGAGGAGUAAGGAGGAGAGAGCGGGUGGCAGGGAAGGGGGUGAACCAGCGUGAGGAUGUCUUGUGGAGUGGCUGUCGCUAUGUGCUACUGGUGCCUGGCCCUGGGCGCCUCCGGAGCAUGAAAGGGAGAAGCAUUUGUUCAUCGCAGGCUCCCGCUGGUUGAGGGUGACUCUGAGGGUAUACUUAGGGGCUGCAGGUGUGUGGGUGCUGAGUGGGCUCCUUUGGGCUCCCCGACCUUGGGCAGGAAUCAAGAGGAGCCAGGACUUAAAGAACAGGAAAGAGCUCAUGUCCAUCUCUGGCUUCUGAGCCGCGUCAGCUUCCCGUGGUGCCCUGCGGAGCCUCAGUGCAUCGCACACCCUGUGGGGCCCCCCACUCAGCCUGCCCCUCAGGGGCUUCCAUCCCAGCAAAGUGGCUCCAUCCGCCCGGAUGCUCAGCCAGGCUCUGGAGCUUGCCCCUCUUCUGCCCCUUCAUCAGAGCCAUUGCUAAAGCUGGCCUCUGUCCACCUCUGUCCACCCGCCCCGUCCUUGUGUGACCACUGUGUCCUGGAGCCCUGCCCAGCCUCGUGCCUCCCCUCCCAGCCUCCAUCCCAUUCUGCCCACCCCAGCAGGAGAGGGGCUUUUUACCCCGCAGGGCGCCGGGAGCAUCCUCCUGCAGACUCCCAGUGGUGUCUGUGGCCUUUAGAACAAAAUGCAAUUCCAUACCUCGGCCUCCAGGUCCCACCCCACACGCUCCCUCCUCUCCACGCUGGCCAGGCAUGCGGCCCUCGUCCCGGCCUUGGCACACAGGACAAGCUGGCCUCCGUCCCUCAGGCAUCAGCGCACGUUCCACGUCUUCAGAGGCCCUUCCUGACCAGCCGACCCGCCCAGUAGGGCCCCACAGUCCUGUCACAGCCUGGGUCGCACUUAGUAAUCACGCGUUUAUCUGAUACAGACACUGGCAGAGUCUGCAAAUGUUCAUUAAGUGCCGGUUGAGCGCCUACCUGUGCCGGGACUGUGCUGUGAGCUUCCGCACACUCUCGGGCAUCUCAUCCCUUAGUCGCUGCCCGGGAGCAUCCUUUCCACCACGCAGCUGGAGAAAACCAGAGCUCGGGAGGGUGAGCAGCUUCUCCGAGGGAGCAGGAAGCUGAUGGAGGCCAGGUCUGCUCUGACUCCCAGCCCACAGGGACUAGAUCCAGCCUAGGGGGAGGUACUCGGAAGCCAGGCUGGCCCGAGGCCAAGAGCAGCUCCCCCCCCCUUGUAACUUGCCAUCGGGGGACGAAGGGGAUGCAUCCAGGCCAGGGCGAGGAGGCCAGGCAGGCUGAGGUUCCCAGGGUCACAGAGCAGAACCUCCCAAGCUUUGAAACAGACCCGCUGAGCUGGCGAGUGGGGCAGACCUCGCCUGCAUGAGCCUGAGUCUCUGCGGGCCAGGCUGGCGGCCCCCGUGAGGGAGGUCCCAUUGGGGACACACCCUUCAUGCGCGAGGAAGGACUGUGUGUUGGGGACCGCAGCGUCUGAGUUCACUGGGUCACAAGCCAGGCGUUUCCUGCGGCCACCUCCUGGCCUGAGCAGUUGUCCUAUGAGACUUCUGCCGAGGGUCAAGCUCAAAGCUGACGACCUCUCUCCCCAGAGGCCAUGACUCUGGGGUCUGUGGGGGGCGCCCUGGGCUACUGGUAAAGUCGAGGGGUGGACAGAAGUGGGGCCUGGCUGAAGCCUGUGCAGUGUCCCUCCUGUGCCCUCCCCAGCACGCACCCAGCUGCUCCGGGCCGCCCAGCUCGGAGAAAACUCACAGAGAGAUCGAAAGUCCCUGUGUGCCUGGCUGGUGGUGUGGAGGGGCACUGGAGGCCCCCAAACCCCAGGGGGCCAGCAGGGGCCUGGCAGGAGGAAGUCCCUGGGGUGGUGCCUGCAGAAGCGCUGAGUUCCCAAAGUACGUGGUUUAGGACAAGAUGGUGGAUGGUGGCUCUGCGGCCCAGUGAGGCUGAGAACUCCCCUAGGUCACAGGUCACAGACCAGGGCCUGCCACCCCCACCCAGGGAGGUCGUUGCAGCAGGUGCCGCAGCACUGCCGAGCGGGAUUCGGGAUUUUAGUUACAAGUGGGCCUCAAUGCUCGGGGUCUUCCAGACUCUGUGUCCCCCCACAGCACAGCAUCCAGGGCUUGGGGGCGCUUGGUGAAGGUCACCGCAGCCAGGACAUGGAUGGGACCGGCGUGUGUGUCCUGAGAGAGAGGAGACUGCAUCAGCUCCACCCUGGGCCCCAAAUUGCUCCAGGGCAGAGGUCCUCCAGCUUUUCCCAGGUAUCUCGCUGCAAACCGAAGAAGAGAGGUCGUGCGGAAAUUGCAGGCCUGCGGCCACUAGGAGCCAAGAGAGGCCCAGCCUGGCAGGUCACCUGGGGCCACUGAGAUUGUCCCCGGCCUCCCCUCCCCGGCAGGUGGGGAAUCCGUCUCUCUAGUUCCUCCAAAUCACGGUUCACGGCCCUGCCUGUGCAGCAGAACCCCCAGCAAUUUUGUGUGAAAAGCACAGAUUCCGAUGCAACUAGUCUGGCGGAGCCCCAGCAAGGCGUUAUUUUAAAGCUCCUGGUGAUUCGCAGCCCAGGCAGAAAGCUCCCUCCAGUCCCCAGCGCCACUGCAGCACCGGCCACGCCGCCGACGUCUCAAGGCCUCCACCUGUCUGUCUGUGAAACGGGAGCAGGACACCUACCUCGCGGGGGCGUGGUGAGAAUUAAGGGGAAAAACUGAGACUUAGUAAUGAGUGUCCCCCCCCCCCGAAGUCCCUCCCCCGGGUCAUCCGAGCCCUGCUUCAGGGCAGCUGCAUAUGUGGAGCUGGAACCAACAGCCCUGGGUCCAAACUCUGACAUUGCUGUUUUCCAGCUGUGACCUUGGGCAAAGGUCGUAGGAAGUCCCAGGGAGUUUUUAAAAAUAUAGACCUCAGACCCCAUCCCAGGCUGACCCAACAAGGACCCUCAAGGAGCAGGAUCCUCGUGUUUCUACCUGAACCAGAACGCCAGGCUCCCAAGACAGCCAGCCUGGCGCCUGCGUCUGGGGUCUGAAACUUCAGACCUCUGAGCAUCUGUUUUCCUUUCUGUUAAAUAGGGUGGUGACAGGGACCCCACAGUCCUAAAGGAAAGGGCUCGAAGCCCAAAGGGCGGUGACAGGCCUCAGCUUCUGCUUCCUCCCCCUGCGCCCCGGCUCCCGAUCCCUCAGGGCUCUGUGUGCCUUCUCCUGGUGGCCUUCAUGAAGGCACAGUGGUGUCAGGGGUGCUCCUGCCCCACUCUCCACUGGACGGCCUUCCCUGGGGUAGCGCUCCUAGCCCAGGGCCUGCCUCCACCCCGGUGAGCAGUCUGACUGGUGAGUCUGGAGGAAAGAGAGGAACAUGCCUGCCUCAGCCUCCCCGUCCCGCAGUGGAAUCACCAGCUGCACAGAGUACUUGGGAGCCUCGGUGCUCCAGGCCCGGAAACAGGGGCAGCUCCCAGAGCAGGAGCUGCUGCGUGAGUGAUUUGUGGGUCCCAGUACAAAAAGAAAAUGCGGGGGGGCCCUUGUUCAAAGAUUCUUAAAAAUUCCAAGACAGCGACAGCAGAGCAUUAACCCGAGCAAGGGGUGCCCGUACCCCAGGGCUCAGCUGUUGACGCAGUGGGAAGUCAGCAGCAAGCCGAGGCGUCUUCUCAGCCCGCGUGCCUCUGACCCGCUGCCGCCUUGCUCCCGCCUCUCAGAGCCUUGUGUCUCAGUCUUCACUCAGUUUACGUGGGGCAAAGGGGAGCUUCUCACUGACGCACUCAAGACCCCAGCAGUCAGAAGAGACUUGGCAAGAAGACACCCUGUGCACCCGGGCCCCGACUUCUAGAACCAUGGGAUACACGGCCUUCCCCUGAUCCCACCCAAAUCCCUCCUGUGGCAACGUCGGCCCGUCCUCUGCCCCAAGUAGCGGGUACUUCCUCAUGGCGCCCAAGACACCCACACUGGUCCUGCGCUCUCACUUCCCCUCUGCGCACGCCUGGAGCAUGACGCUGUCAUCCCGGGUUUCUCUCCACUUCGCGUCAGUAAAUCCUGCACAGGUACCCACCCCUGCACCCUCUCCACCUGCACCCGGUCAUAGCCACCACCCUCCCAGACCAGGUGGCUGCAGUGUUGGCUGCAUCGGCCUCCCCUACCCACCCUCCAGAAUGCAUUUCCCAGUCGAGCAGCCAAGGUGCUCCUGCCAAGCGCUCCGGCUCUCCCUGCAGGGGACACGCAGGCCCGCCUCAGGGCCCUGGAGUCAAAGCCUCAGGCUGCGGCAGCUCCUCUGAGACAAGUGGUCCCAGACCCCAAGGACCAGUCCCCUGCGUCCCCAACUCCAGGCCGACCUUCAGUCCGAGCUGGGCUGUUUGGCUACUUGUUUUCCAACCUGUUGAAGGUCCCCCUGCCCUGCCCUCCAAGCUGAGACUCCCAGCGGUCGGAGCACACGUGCCUGAGGGCAGGCACAGGGCAGGAGGGUGGCUGGCAGAGCGCAAGACCCCUCCACCCGCCGCUUCAGUGGUCUCAGUGGGCGGAUGAAGAGAUGCUGCCUCCAGACACUGCCUCCAGCCCGGGGCUCCCUGGGGAGGUGUCCCCCCCAGACUUCCAAUCCCGGAAAGGGGUGGGCAUCUCCCUAAAGGAGGGAGGAAGGAGGAGGAUGGGCCGGGGUGUGGAGGUGUAGAGGUAACCCCCCCUUCUUCUUUCCACCUCCACUCCAGAGCUGGUCCACGUGGGGGGAUCUUGGGGAUGAGCGCUUAAGGAGGCUGCUGGUCUGCCUGGAAUCCCCCUGGGGUUGUUCGAAUGCAGAAUCCAAGGCCUUCCCAGCCCACGCUGUACCCGCCUCUCUGCGGGUAAUCCUUACAUACAUCCGCGUUUAGGAACCUUGGGGAGGGCUGGAGAGAGGGGUGAACACGGGGGUCUGCCUGGUGGGGGAAGCAGAGUGAGGGACUGCACAGGGUGGGGGAUGCUGAAGAUAGAGACCAAGUCCAGAGCCUUGCAAAGGCCCCGCCCCUCCCCCAAGCCAGCACUUAAUCCUGUCCCUGCUACUUAACCUCUCCCACCAGAGACCCGGGCACUUUAACUCCAUUUAAAUAAGCCCUUGAGGGCUCAGAAGAAAUUGCUGCCAGCAAUUCAGAAGCCCUGAGCCCUGAGGGCAGUCAGAGGCUUUCUGUCCAGCUGCCCUGGGUUCCAGGCUGUUGCCAGAAGCCUCCGCACGGCUUGGAGGCCCAAGCCUGCCAUCCAGGGCAGGGGGCUCCCCUGGGAGGAUGCCACCAGUACCCAAAAGCCUGGCCCAGGCCUCUUGGGCCCCACUCACUGGCCGCCUGGCUUAGCUUCCCCCAGUUCUCUUUAGCUCAAGCAAGGCGGGCCCCAGUUGGGCAGACCUGGACCCCAAUCCUCUUCCGGGCUGAGAAUGCUGGGCAAUUACUUAGCCCAAUUACUGCCGUGGGCAACUACUUCCUCUUCUGCAAAAUGAGCUUCACAGCUCUUGUAAGGGUUGAAUGAACGAUGUCCAUAAAACCCCUGGCCUGGUACCUGGCAGGUUGGAGAGGUUCGUGGCCACGGAGAAGAAGCGCUCAGUACCAGGAGUGGUGUGAGCAGAACCAGUCCCUCCAGGGCUAAGCAGAAUGGGUCCCUCCAGCAUCCCUGAGCCUCCAGCAUCCGAGCCGCUCAGCACCCAGAAGAGCUGAUCAUUAAACAUUUACCAGCACAUCUCUGAUGAAGGCAUUGAGGAUGGGUGAAAUUUCUGGAAGACUGUGAGCUUGGUGGGUCUCUACCCUGGCUGCACGUGAGGGUCACCUGAGGAGCUCUUAGCAAAUCCCAACACUCAAACACCACUCCAGACGGAUUGAAUCAGAAACCGGAGGAAGCAGAGGAAUGGGGGCAGUGAGCUAGAGAGGGUCCCGGGGUCACAGGAGAAGACUGCCCGCCAGAGUGUGUUAGCCGGCGAACCGAAUGCCCUUUGACUGGGAGGUGCUGCUGACGCUGACGAGAGAGAAGAGACAAAGUCCAUGGAUGACCAAGGAGUGAGGUCCAGAGGCCACACGGCAGGAGAAGAGCCAGCCAGCUCUAGAGACCAGAAGUCCAAAAUCAACGUGUCAACAGGGUCACGCUGCCCCGAAGGCUCUAGGGGAGGACGCUUCUUUGUCUCUUCCAGCUUCCAGCGGCCCCAGGUGUCCUUGGCUCAUGGCUGCAUCACUUCCAUCUCUGCCUCCACCCUCACGUGGCCUUCUGGAGACGUCAGAAUGUCUCUGUGCGUCUUCUCCUCUUCAGUCUCUUACAUGGGCGCUCGUCAUUAUAUUUGGGGUCCGCCCUGAUCCAGGAGGAUCUCAUCUCGGGGUCCUUACUUUAACUACAUCUGCAAAGACCUUUAUUCCAAGUAGGGUCACAUUCUGAGGUUCCGGGAGACAUAUUGCGGGGGCUACUAUCCAACCCAUUAUAGUCUCCCCCUUGCCCCCCAAAUUCACAUCCAUCCCACGUGCAAACUACAUUCACCUCUCAUGCCCUCUUGCAUAUUGUUCAACUGUCUUUGCCUCGGUUUACCCCGCAGAGCUGAGGACAAUAAUGACCACCUCAUGCAGUGGUCGUGUGGAUAACAUAGGAGUGUAUUUACCGGGCGCCCAGCCCAAGGCUCGGUGGGACCAAGUCACGGGAGCUGCCGUCAGACAGUCCUCAGCCCCCACCACCCCUCCCCAGCUCCACCUUCUGAAACGAUAAUCUCCACGACAACGGGGACUUGUGUCUGUUUAACUCACUCCACAUUGUUCCACAAACCCCAGGCCCUCCUGCCGGCUGGUCACGAUGUGUGGAGACCCAGGGCCUCGUCGGGGCCCAGGGAAUAAAAGAGAAGAUCUGGGGGCGCGGCUUCCAGCCGGAGGUGUGGGGUCAAGUCCCAGCCCUGCCGCCACCACACACAGUUGGAACCUCAGUUUACCCCUCUGUAAGUGGGGGAUAAGGCAGGUCUGAGCCACCAGAACACAACCCUGCGUGCUGCCAUCCUGGGCACACAACCCAGUGGGUUCCCAGCCCCCUGCGCAAUCCAGCAGGCGGCUCCCCAGGAGCUGGAUGGCGCCCUGGCCCCCCUCUCGUGGCCUCUUCUAGCCAGCGGCCAGGGUGGACGUUAGCCCAGCCCUGCCCAGCCGAGCCAUCCAGGCCACCCCCACGUGUCCAAGGCUGGCACUGGGUUUGGUGUUAAAAGACCCCCUUCACAAGCAGUGAGCCGAAGACCCAAAAUAGAUGACACGGGUGCCCCAAGCCUGAUUCUGCUUCUCAGAGAGCACCCUGCCCCCAACAGAGUCCUGAGGACUGCCUGGGCUCGGUCCCCUGACCGGGCACUUCCUGGACCCAUAUAGACCCAGCAGAGGGGUCAACUCACACCCAGGGCAAAAAGUCUCCCGCUUGCACCCAGGGGUCGCCGUUCAAGGUCAACAGGGACUGAGGGACCCUCCACAGGGCAGCAGUGACAGCUCCUGGGCUCCAAGCCCCAUGGCCCCCAGGCGCUCCACGGGCCCCACAUGCGAGGCUCCCGGGACUCUGGAGCCUGCGGCUGGGCCGCAUGUGACGUCUUCUUCCGCAGAGAGCAGCGAGGUGCACAGCUCAGGCCCGCUGGCCUACAGGUGAUGUGCGUCCCUGGCCCCAGGGAUCCUCAUCCUGGGUGGGGGUUCUCACUCGGGCUUGGCUGUCCGGCACCUCCCUGUCUUAACAGCAAUCAUAAAAACAAUAAAAAUAACAGUACUAGUUAACAUGUGUGUGCCUUGCUCCCGCCUGGUGCUGCGCAAAGCACUUCACCUGUUCACCCAGUCAAACUUCAGGACUACCAACCCACUUAUCACCAGCCUCCCUUUCAGCAUGGGGAAACUGAGGCACAGGGCAACAACUCACUUCCUCAAGGUCCAGGGGGAGUCAAUGGCCGAGCUGGGAUGCGGAACCCUGUAGGCUGGCUGCUGGUGUCUGUGUCUUCAGCCCUCCCCUCUCUGGUUGGCAUUCGAGUCUUCAAAUCCGUGCUGCUCAGAGAGAGACAGCGCUUCUGAGGUGCUUCUUCACAGACAACCAGGUGAAGACGGGCCUCAGGAACUGCUAAUCCAGCAGGCUCCUCCUCAAGUCCUGGGAGCUGGCCCCGUGCCCCAGGGUCUAGCCCUGACCCUGUAUCUGGCCAGCAUGUACUGGUCCCCUACUCCCCUGCUCAAACCUCCAAAGGCCUUCCAUACGAAUUAGAAUCAAGUCCAAACUCCUAGCCACAGCACCGGGGCAAGCUGCCUUCCUCCUCCCCCAAUCUGCUCUCCUGCCCUGUUCCCCUCUGCUCCACUUCCUGCCUUCCUUCUGGUUCCCGAACACGCCCAGUUUGUACCUGCCUCAGGGCCUUUGCACCUGCUGUCCCUGCAGUCUUUACAUGGCUGGCUCCUUCUCAACAUGCGGGUCAUACUUCACCUGGAACUUGCUCAGUGAGGCCUUCUCUGACCACCCAGGCUAAAGCAGACUUAAUGCAAACACACUGAAAGAACGAGACAAAAGGAUGAUUCUUUCCCACCAGCAAGGGGAGGGUCAGGGCUGGGAUUGGACCAGCCCCUCCUUGCGUUCAGCAGAUACAGAGGCCGGGAGAGUGGACAUGAUCAGUCCCAGGACACAAGGUCCCCUAACAAGCCGGGAGGACAGACAGAGAGAGCAGCGUGGGGCAGCGCCGAGGAUAACGGGGCCUUUGUCCAGGGGCCUGGGGCCAUCUGCCUUCAGGACAAUGCCUUAGGGGUCUGGCAUCCCGAGGAUUUGUGCUGCCUACACGAGGCAGCAUCCUGUCCUGGGAGGAGAAGCACCCCUGGGAGGGGUGCGGACGGGUGCGCCAUCCACAGGCCCAAAUGCCUCCUUCCUUAGGAUCCCAUCCGACAGCCAGGGCUCCCGGCUUCCCCACCCUGUGCCCUCAUCCCUACCCCCGGGUCCUCUCGGGGCGCCCAGCACCUCAGUUUUACCGCCCGCUGUGUCCCAGGCCUGGGCCUCUCCCCCCAAGUCCUAGACUUCUUUAGGGCUCCCUAUGGAGCUGACCGGGUCCCCUCAGACCAUUUUAUUAAACACACUUCACUUAUUUACAGUAAUCUCAAUGCCUCCUCCGGGCUGCUCCCUGUAUGAGGCACUGGUCAAUGUCCAGCAUUAGCAACCAGCUCUCUUGGGAAAGGAAGGAAAAAAUAUAUACAUAUAUAUAUAAAAUAAAUUGUACUGACAUAAAGGAUGUGUAUCACACAAUUUACAAAUUAUAAUAAAAUGUAAACUCCGUACGAGCAGGUGAUUCACAGAACUCUUUCUUUCGUGGACUUUUGGCCCAACUCGUGGAUCAGUAGCCAACCUGUGCUUGCAAUUGACGAACGCGUGUAGUUCGGACACAAACGUUGGUUGACAUUUUCAUUUCAG